UACGGAGGGAGCUAGCGUUAUUCGGAAUUACUGGGCGUAAAGCGCACGUAGGCGGCUUUGUAAGUUAGAGGUGAAAGCCCGGAGCUCAACCUCCGGAACUGCCUUUAAGACUGCAUCGCUUGAAUCCAGGAGAGGUGAUGUGGAAUUCCGAGUGUAGAGGUGAAAUUCGUAGAUAUUCGGAAGAACACCAGUGGCGAAGGCGGCUCACUGGACUGGUAUUGACGCUGAGG
rnacentral:rRNA from 1 species